CAGGCUUAACACAUGCAAGUCGAGGGGCAGCAUGGUCUUAGCUUGCUAAGGCCGAUGGCGACCGGCGCACGGGUGAGUAACGCGUAUCCUACCUGCCUUACACUCUUGGACAGCCUUCUGAAAGGGAGAUUAAUACAAGAUGUUAUCAUGAGUAAGCAUUUUCGCAUGAUUAAAGGUUUACCGGUGUAAGAUGGGGAUGCGUUCCAUUAGAUAGUAGGCGGGGUAACGGCCCACCUAGUCUUCGAUGGAUAGGGGUUCUGAGAGGAAGGUCCCCCACAUUGGAACUGAGACACGGUCCAAACUCCUACGGGAGGCAGCAGUGAGGAAUAUUGGUCAAUGGACGAGAGUCUGAACCAGCCAAGUAGCGUGAAGGAUGAAGGUUCUAUGGAUUGUAAACUUCUUUUAUACGGGAAUAAACGGAUCCACGUGUGGAUUUUUGCAUGUACCGUAUGAAUAAGGAUCGGCUAACUCCGUGCCAGCAGCCGCGGUAAUACGGAGGAUCCGAGCGUUAUCCGGAUUUAUUGGGUUUAAAGGGAGCGUAGAUGGGUUGUUAAGUCAGUUGUGAAAGUUUGCGGCUCAACCGUAAAAUUGCAAUUGAUACUGGCAGUCUUGAGUACAGUUGAGGUAGGCGGAAUUCGUGGUGUAGCGGUGAAAUGCUUAGAUAUCACGAAGAACUCCGAUUGCGAAGGCAGCUUACUAACCUGUAACUGACAUUGAUGCUCGAAAGUGUGGGUAUCAAACAGGAUUAGAUACCCUGGUAGUCCACACGGUAAACGAUGAAUACUCGCUGUAGGCGAUAUACAGUCUGCGGCCAAGCGAAAGCAUUAAGUAUUCCACCUGGGGAGUACGCCGGCAACGGUGAAACUCAAAGGAAUUGACGGGGGCCCGCACAAGCGGAGGAACAUGUGGUUUAAUUCGAUGAUACGCGAGGAACCUUACCCGGGCUUAAAUUGCAACCGAAUAUGGCGGAAACGCUAUAGCUAGCAAUAGCGGUUGUGAAGGUGUUGCAUGGUUGUCGUCAGCUCGUGCCGUGAGGUGUCGGCUUAAGUGCCAUAACGAGCGCAACCCUUGCCGAUAGUUACUAACAGGUCAUGCUGAGGACUCUGUCGGGACUGCCAUCGUAAGAUGUGAGGAAGGUGGGGAUGACGUCAAAUCAGCACGGCCCUUACGUCCGGGGCUACACACGUGUUACAAUGGGGGGUACAGAGGGCUGCUACCACGCAAGUGGAUGCCAAUCCCAAAAACCUCUCUCAGUUCGGAUUGAAGUCUGCAACCCGACUUCAUGAAGCUGGAUUCGCUAGUAAUCGCGCAUCAGCCACGGCGCGGUGAAUACGUUCCCGGGCCUUGUACACACCGCCCGUCAAGCCAUGGGAGCCGGGGGUACCUGAAGUGCGUAACCGCAAGGAGCGCCCUAGGGUAAAACUGGUGACUGGG
rnacentral:rRNA from 1 species